rnacentral:rRNA from 1 species
UCUAGGUUUAAAAGGGUAAUAUCAAUAAGAGAAACCCAUGCCCCCCGGCGGCCCCCUUCCUAUUUAGAGGAACUUGUUCCUUCCUCGAUACUCCCCGUUUACUUUUACUAUUUUUUUAGUUUCUAUACCGCCGUCUAAAGAAAAAGAUCCGGCCCUUUCUCUUCAAAGUCCUUGCUCCCAAGUCAGGUCAAGGUGGAGCCUACAGAAUAGAGGAAAUGAGUUACUUAUUCUUUCUAAGAAUGGAUUAAUUAAACUAAAGCUUUUAGGAAAUAGGAUUUAAUAGUAAUUUAGUUUUAAAAUAACUAAAUGACCAAGUAAA